AAGCACAUCUAUUUGGGAGAGAACUGCUGCCAACCCAGAGGAGACUGGAGCUGAGAAAUCAUAUGACCCCCUUUCUGAAUAAUUGCAUUUCAUGAGGAGGAUGGCUCCUAUUCAAGAAAGCAGCAUAGUGGUGAGCCAGACCACACUUACUCCUGCUGUGACAGAUACCACUCUCAUCGAAAAUGUGACCAGUCUGACUCCGACACCCGUGAUUUUCAGCAGCACCACCUCAGGCUGCUUCGCUUUUAACCUUUCUGCUUGUGAGCCAUGUGCACCGGGGUCACAGUACGACAACAACACACUUCUGUGCACGUGCUGUCCUGACUCAGGGCGGUGUGUAUUUCCUGGCGCGUGCCUGCCAUGCACCAGAGGAUUUUAUCAGCCACUAGCUGGACAGCAGCGGUGUCUACCUUGCAGCCGGGGCUUCUACACCAAUUUCACUGGAAGUCCAUUAUGUCGCCCCUGCCCUCCUGGGUCCUUCAACAAUAACACUGGUGAAGACUCUUGCACAAGUUGCUCACCAGGUUUCUUUUCAUCGCAGGGUAAUUCUACUUCAUGUAAACCAUGUGCACAAGGACGUUUUUGCAACUCAUCGGGUUGUACUCAGUGCCAGAUGUGUCCUGGAGGAACAGAAUCUCUGCAGGCUGCUGCUAAGGACUGCUCUCCAUGUCGGCCAGGUAUGUACAAGGCCGCCCAUCAGAAUAUGUGUCAAAUCUGCAGCAGUGGCUAUUUUCAGAUCCGCUGGGGCCAGGAAAGCUGUGAUAUCUGCCCAGAGAAUCACUACUGCCCUAGUCCCGACGUGAACCCCAUUCAGUGUCCGAGUGAUGCCUUUUGUCCAGAGGGCAGCUUGGCUCCGGGCUACUGCAUGGAGACUUUCUUCCGCAAAGCAGGGGACACUUGUGAACUGGCUCCUGUCACUAUUGCUUUGUUAGUUAUUGGAGGAGGGGUGGCCUUACUCUUUAUUAUUUUAAUGCUUUUACGUCGACGAAGAGAAACUGACGGAGAGCUGACAGUAGCCCGGGCUCCACUGUUACGAAAAGAGCGACCUCAAGGACGAUACUAUGGCCUGCCCUGUGACGCAGAACCUGUAUAUGCUGGCUGGUGAAGCACUAAGAUAUAAGAAGAGACACUGAAACACUGAUAAAACUCCCUCCCUCCCCUCUAGAGACUACACCUUGACAAAUCACCAUCCUGUCAAUUGCAAUGAAUUACUGGCAUGUGAAGGUUGAUUCUUUGGUGAAUUCUUCCUGUUGCAAUCGUUCCACUCAGAGAAAAACAUUCCUUGUGUAAGUGAGGUUAUUCGAUUAUGAGAGGUACGCUGGAACGAUGAAAACAACAUACAUGCCUCUGCAUGGUGACAGCCUUUUUCACUUAUGAAAAGCACUUUUUUUAACAAGGUAAUUGAUUUACUUUGCAUUCCUGUGUCAGUACACUUACAUUAACAUCUGUUGUCCCUCAGUGAUUACAUGUAAACUGUGGAUGACUUUUUUUUUAAUUUAAUUUAAUUUUAUUGCUUUUUAGAUACUUUUGCUUAAAGGUUUUUAACUGCUUUUUAAGGUUAUAUUUGUAUGUUUUAGAAGAAAAUAAAAUAUUCUGAUUUCUAACCCUUUUCAAAUGCUAUGUUAUAUUGUGGACUAGCUUUAAAAUAAAUGAAAAAAAAUCUAUAUUGUCUUGAUAAUUUGUCCUAAUAUGCUGGGACAGUAUAAAGUAAUUUAUCAGAUUUCGAAUGAUCAUUAAUAAGUUAUUAGUAUUAGCACCUGUUAUCAUUAGUGUCCUCAUAUUAAUUUAUUUACUGGAGGAAAAAAUCUUUUGGUGAUAUGUCUUUUUAACAAGUACUGAUUCUCCAUAUUCAAAACUUUUGAUUGGCUGUAUGUACUAUAUGUGUAAUUAAUUCAAAUAAUAUAUAUAUGUAAAUAUAUAAACUUUUUAUAAACAACUUUAAAACUCAAGAAAGACUCACAUUUCACAGAUUUCAAAACAUUUUGAAAGACACUGGCUAAUUUAACCAAGAAAAACAACAUAAUUAAUAUCAGAACAAAAUGCGCAUUAACAACUGCCUUUCAGCAACACACAACACAAAACUGUAGUAUUUUAUUAAAGACAAACAGUGACAGUACAUCGGCCUGCCAGCAGCAAAGAGUGGUGCUUUUAUAACAGCCUUCAAGUGUAAUAGAAAGAAAGUGUAAUUUAGGCUGUGUUUUAACUGUUGUUCAACUCUUGCUCCUGUAUGCUGUGAAUGUGGUGUUAUACUGUCUUCUGCAAGGAAUUAAGAAAUACAAACACUGUCUUAAUCAGCUCUUUAUAAUUACCACAGCUGACAUUACAUGCGUCACUUGUCUACAAAGCUUUGAAAGUAAAAUUAGUUAAAAGCUCUCAAGUGUUUCAUUUUUUGGUCAUAUUUUGAAUUGGUUGUAUAAUGCGUGUAGGCUAUAUAUAUAUGAUUAUUGUUUUAAACACACUGUGCAAGGGUUUUAGACACUUUUAGAUCACUCUUAACCAUCACGCUAUACCAGAGGUGUCAGACAUAAGACCUGAGGGUUAGAAUUGACCCAGCAAAGAUUCUGCUCACUGGACAGCUUCAGACAUUCUGAAGCGGGGCAUAGGUUUUGACUUUAAAAUGUAUUUGAAUACGUUUUAAAGCUUUUCCUACUGAUAAAGUCCUGCCACAAAAAAGUAGUUAAGUAAUAGAUAAACAAUUAAAUGACAGAAAAGUUCCUGAAAAUUCUCUCUUUUUUUUUUUUUACAAUGGCUCUACAAGAAUAAUUAUUAUUUUUUUAAAAAGUCAAUUAGCAAAAACUUUCUGUUUUAUAAUUACAGACAGUCUUGGCAACAAGCUACCAGAACUUUCGCUGUAAUUUUACUGAUUAAAUUCUUGUAGUUUAAGCUCAAAGAGUUGUGCUUGUCAGAUUUCUUUCAUUUACUACAGCAGCAUUUCUUUAUCUUUUAUCUCAGGAAAAUAGAGAUGUUCUGUUGAAAUUGCUCCUAUUUUUCAGAUAUUUACUGGGCUUUUUCACAUUAAUAAUUAGUUUGAGAUGUCUGCGCUGUACCAUCGGGGUCCUGAUCACUCCCCAGAUCAUUCUGCAGUACUCCAGCAACACCAGAUACACAGUUGGAGAGGACUGUGUACCUCAGGAAGAACAGAUGGCCGUUACAACCCCCCACAGCCUGACACCUUCCAUCAGGGAGUCAGGCUGAUGCUGAGGAUGCCUAAAACCACAGAAGUAUGAACCAAUCAAUUCUUUAGAAUUAGACAUGGAAAUAUUUUUGGAACUAUCACAGUCUAUUCUCAACAUUAAUCAGGCACUUGAAUCCUCUUUUGCUAGUUUUAUCUGUAACAGGUCACUGCUGCAUAUUGUAUACUGUAUAUAUGUGUCAAUGUUCUGCCUUGAAAUGUUAUGACAGUUGCAACCACUGUGUUGGAGUUUGGAUAUCCUGUCUGGCUUUGGGUUUCCUUCUACAGUCUAAAGAUGUACAUGUUAGGUUUGUCUGUCCCUUUGUGUCCUCGCUGUCUGACUGGUGAUCUGUCCAGGAUGUACUACUACUUGCCAGGUGUCAGCUGUGAAGUAAAUAGAUGGAUGAAUGGAUGGAUGCUGUGGCAUAAUUAUAUUUACUGCACGCCACAGCCCUACGCACAGCAGUCAUUUUGAUGAAUCAUAGCAGGGAAUAGCACAGGCGUUAUUAAGACAGCUAAAUGAAAUAGUGAUUGAUAUCUAGAUUGUUGAUAUUUGCUCCAGCUACAUUUCUGUCAUGGGCUAUCUGUUUAGUAGGUACGGGGAAAUUUGUCAGACUAAAUAAAUAAGAAAACUGAAAUACUGAUUUGGUCUUGCAGCAAAGAACAAUUCUUUCCAGAUUAUGCAAAAGUUCAACAGGAGAAUGUGAAAAAAUGGCAAUUCUCAAGAUCUCAUGUUUACAAUGUGACAGCUACGUAGACAGACACAGCUGGAAGCUGCAUAUCAUACUGUAUGCACACCAAGUAGAC
ensembl:lncRNA